CAUAGUGAAGAUGAAGAGAAGUUGAUAAACUCAAGAUACAGCUUGAAAAUAGAUCCAAUAGCAUUUUCUGAUAAAUCAGAUACGGGGAGGGGAAGACAAUGGAAAGAGAGAAAUCAAGGAACAUUUUUAAGUCCAUGUAACGGGCAGAGGCAUUCACUGAAUUAAGAAAUAUAGAGAAAGAAGCAGUUUAAGGAUGGUGAGAUCAAGACUUCUACUUUGUGCACAGUUUUUCAUGUUUUUUUCAGAUUGGUUGCUGAACAAUCCUGAGUUGCCUAUGGAUGAGGAAACAGUGAACAAAAAGAGAUAAGAGUCUUGCCCAAAUUUACACAGCAGCACAGACUGUGUGAUUCUAAAUACAAUUAUCUUCCCAUCAUAAAACACUGUGGAUUACAUAUGCUUGAAAUAUAUUAAAUCGAGAAGAAAUUACAUGGAAAAUAACAUGAUCUUGCUAUGUCUCCCAGGCUAGAGUGCAGUGGCAUGCCUCCACCACCCGGGCUCAAGUGAUCCUCCCACCUCAGCCUCCUGACUAACUGGGGUGACAGGAGCACCACUAUAUCUGGCUAAUUUUGCUUUCAACUUUUUUGUAAAGACGGGGUCUCCCUGGGUUUCCUAGGCUGGUCUCAAACUCCUGGACUCCAGCAAUCCAAUUGCCUCGGCCGCCCAAAGUGCUGAGAUUACAGGCGUGAGCCACCAUGCUUGACCAACAGUAUGAAUCUGUAUGUCUUUCCAUUCUUGCCAACAAUAGGUCUUGUGACUCUUGUUGAACUUUGCUAAUUUUAUAGAUGGAAAAUAUUUUUAUUUGCACUGAUAUGAUUACUGGUACAGUUGUACAUCUUUUCAUAGGUUUGCUGCUCAUUUAUGUGUGUGUGUGUGUGUGUGACCAGUUUAAGAUCUUUGUUCAUUUUUCUAUGGGUAUAUAUGAUUCUACUCGAUCUGUAAAAGUUGUUCAUAUAUUAAAGAUAAAAAAUCCUCAUCUAUAUAUUGCUUCUUUUAAAAAAUUCUUUACUUUUGGUAGAGACAGGCUCUUGCUAUGUUACUCAGGCUGGUCUUGAACUCCCGGCCUCAAGCAAUCCUCCUGCCUCGGCCUCCCAAAGUGCUGGGGUUACAGGUGUGAGCCACCGCACCUGGCUUAUAUGUUGCUUCUUUGUUACGUGAACUUUGGAUAUGAAAGCACUUCCCUGAUAUUUCACUGUAAAAAUAAACUAAAGAUGUAGUCUUUACUGAUACACAUUGCAGUGGCUUUUGUUAUUGACAGUUUUGUUUGUGCAUUUCAUGUGUAAACAGCAUAGGAAUUAUCUUUCUAGGUCAGGUCCCAUCUCGCCUAACCACUGCAAAAUUCUGUUACUAACGAGUGACCUGGAGAACAUGAUAAAAAACAAGAAAUCAUGUUUAUCAGAAUAAUACUUACAAUCAAUUAGGAUUUGCUCAGUUUACAGGAAGAUUUACUAGUUUAGUCUCUCACUGGUUAUGAAAUAAAUUAACCCAAAGCCUUUUAAAAUCAGUUUUUUGCCUCUGUUUAGUGGCUCUACUUAUAUUUUAAGAAAGUUUCCAGAAUGCCCCUUCAACUUUCUAUUUUCCAGAUCUACCAUCUUCGUUCAUAUUCAUCUUAUCCAUGCCAUUCAUGAUUUGAUAGAUUUUUACUUUCUAGGCCAAAGAGUCCUAAUCUUUCACUUUGUCCUUAUAUGUCAAUUCCUCCUCACUCCCUCCUACUUCUCUGAUCAUUUUAUAAUACAUUGGCACCACAAAAAUGAAAUUUACUGAGAAAACCAGAUUUUGAGAUGCUGCCAUAACUAAUGAAGUCAGAGAAAUGAUGAAAAGGGCUUUAAUGAGGUUUGAAAUACAGUUAGAAUAUUACAGAUAGAAAAUCAAUUUGGAAAACGCUGUCAGCUUCAUCCAUGAAGAAAAAAUUAUUUAAACACACACAUCUAAAGGACAGGAGUAACUGUGAAGGCAAUGAAGAACUGAGAAUUGUUUUAUAAUUGAGAAAAACUCAUUCUUUUUUAUCUAUCUAUCUGCCUGUCUACCAUAUACAAUAUUUUGUUAUGAUUAAAAGUCUAACUGGGCAUAUAUACAAAUAUCUUGGAUAUUCAAAUUCUGGAAGGUCUAGUAAAUAAUUAAGCAUUUAAUUAUGUUAACUAACUCUUAAUGCUAUGUAAUAUUGGAGGCAGAAGGGAGAGUUUUUUUUUUUUUGGCUCCUUUGCAAUACCACUUACAGGAUGAUGCAUAAUUUUGCUCAUCCCAUAGAAUGUAUUUUAUAUUCUUCAAGAGAAAAACUGAAUUUGUGGAUCCAAGACUAGCAGGUAUUUUGGAGAAAAAAGGAUAUCUUUUCCAUAAAGCCAUUUUUGACAAGUACUGUAAAGCACUUGCAUAGCAAAGAGAGAUUACUGUUUAAAUAGAUUAUAUCAGAUCAUAGAACAAUUGGGAGCUGUACUUCUCUUAAAGUAACUUAUAAGAUCUGGAGAACUGCUUCCGGUCUGGGUUAGUUAAGCAUUCAGCAGAUUCUCAGUUCUUAAUCAUUGAAAAUUAAAUAAAAGCUACAGCCUUUCUUUCUAAAACAAAACAAACAAAAUUAAAAAACCAAGAAAACCCAUAUACAAUUAUAGAAUUUUAAAUGUAAGUUUCUAUAAGUUAUUGGGAUCUCAGGUCCCUAGGCUAAGGAACUCUUGGCUCUAGGGCAAUUUUGGUUAUAUUUUUGUGUUUUUUAAAAUUUUGCUUUUAAGCCUAUCGCUGAAUACCUAAUAUAUAAACCGAUCUCCUGUUUUACCUUAGGCACUCCAUCUAUUUAUUUUGGACCAUAUUAGACUGAAAGUUUCAUGUCCUCAUCUAUAAGCUCCUCAUUGGUACUUUGCAUAGGAAAGCCUUGCCAUGUCCUGAAAGCUGAUCUCCACUCUCUGCUAUGAACAACUCAAAUGGAGCGUCCUGUUUAAUUGUGUUGGAGACCUAAGGAUUUGCCAGAACAUUCUUGCCAAUUUGACAUAUAAGAAGCCAACCACCAGCCAUCUGCUCAAUGCCUAGUUCCUAGGAUCCUUCCUUAAGAGUUUAUUGUGUGUGGCCAGGCGCAGUGGCUCACUCCUGUGAUCCCAGCGCUUUAGGAGGCAGAGGUGGGAGGAUCACUUAAGGUCAGGAGUUCGAGGCCAGCCUGGCCAACAUGGUGAAACCCCGUCUCUAUUAAAAAUACAAAAAUUAGCUGGGCGUGCUGGUGGGCGCCUGUAAUCCCAGCUAUUUGGGAGGCUGAGGCAGGAGAAUCACUUGAAUUAGGGAGGUGGAGGUUGCAGUGAGCUGAGAUUGCACCACUGCACUCCAGCCUGGGCAACAGAGUGAGACUACAUCUCAAAAAACAAAACAAACAACAACAACAACAACAACAAAAAGUGUUUACUGUGUGAUUCUGGUCUCUCAUAUAUAAACCUGACUUAUUUUGGUGAUGGGAUCUUUCCUACCCCUCACUUUAUCUUUUUAGAGUCCCAGGAUAUCUCAUUGUACAUAGAAGUCAGGCCAUGGCAAGUGAGGCUGAAAGUAUACCGAGAAAAGUCAACUUUCCAACUCUAAUCCUCUUUUACAAUAUUUAAGCAGUUUUAUUGAGGUAUAAUUGAUAUACGAAUAACUGCAUAUAUUUAAUGUGUACAAUUUUAUGAGUUUGAACAUUGAAAACACCCAUGAUACCAUCACCACAAUCAAGUUAACAGACACAUGCAAUAUUUCUGUGUUUCCUUCUAUCCCAUUGUCGCUCUUUGUAAUAAGAACAUGUAACAUGAGACCUACGCUCUUUGCAAAUUCUGAAGUACACAAUACUGUAUUGUCAAGCAUAGGCAUUAUGUUGUACAAAAGAUUUCUAGAACUUUAGCAGAUAAUUAAAACUUUAUAUACACUGAACAACCAUUUCCCCCACACUCCAGAAGUUUCAUUAUUAAAGGGGAAAAAGGUGACUUCUGAGAGUAACAGAUACAUAUUUAUUCAAAUCCAAAUACAGCAUAUUCUAAAAUCGAAGAUAAUGUUUAAACAAACAGCUACUGUGCCAGACUAUUAACUGCCUACUUUAUAGCCAUUCCCACCCUCUUAUAUGUUAACAGAACCCUGUUUUCUUAGGGACAACAAUAUGUCCAAUCUAGGAUAUGACUCACUGUUAGUCUAGUUAGUCUAAACCAGUCACAUUUCCAAGUAAUAUGUGCCUCAAAUACAUGACAGAUAGCCGAGAUAUUGAUUCCCCUUAACUCUCAAGGCAGAAGGACUGGGCCUAGAUUAGCAGAAGCAUUCUGUUCACCCUUAGGAUGUACAACAAAUGUUAUCAUUUCCUACACAUGCCAUAAAGGGAAAAACAUCAGUCAGGAAGCAUGAUUCUAAGCCAAAUUCUGUUCCCUUUGACAGAUACUCAAUUUCUUUCCUCUCCUUACAGCUAGCAGUAAUCCAGUUUUGGCCAGUGCAAUAUUAGGGAAAGUCGGCUGAGAGCCUGGUGGAAAUGCUUGUUCUAACAUAUAAAAGGACAGAAAUAAGAGGAUAGCACAUCAGCAGUGCCUUUUUCCUUUCUUCCUACCUCGAACAAAAAUACAAUGCCUAAAACCUCAACAGCCAUCUCACUACCAUGAAGUAACAAAGCAUGAGGAUAAAAGACCAAUAGCUAGCCAGGCACGGUGGCUCAUGGCUGUGACCUUAGCAUUUUGGGAGGAUGAGGCAGGCAGAUUGCCUGAGCUCAGGAGGUUGAGACCACCCUGGGGGCAACAUAAUGAAACUCCGUCUCUACUAAAAUACAAAAAAUUAGCUGGGCAUGGUGGUGCGCACCUACAGUCCCAGCUACUUGGGAGGCUGAGACACAAGAACUGCUUGAACCCCGGAGUGACAGAGCAAGACUGUGUCUCAGGAAAAAAACAAAACAAAACAAAACAAAAAAAAACAGACCAACAGCUAAGAAUAAUGGAGCAGAGGGAUGGAAAGAGCUUGAGAUUUUAUAUUGUUGAACAUCAGACUCAAGGUCAACAACUGACUACUUCGAAAAUGAGAAGUAGACAAUUGUUGAUCUUGGGCCUGAUGUUCAACAAUAUAAAGUUGACUGGUGGACACUAAUGGAGGGAAUAUUUUAAGUCGAUUUUUUCUCUGAAGCAUCCUUUAAUUCUUAGCUUUGUAGGAAUAUCAACCCUCUU